UAAUACCAGCUCCCCAAGUGGUGGCCACAAAUGUUGGGCCUAAAGCAUCCGUAGCCUGCUUGGCGAGUUCCUCGGGAAAUCCUGAAGCCCAACUCUAGGAAUUGCCGAGGAAGACCGCCAAGCUUGGGACCGGGAGAGGCUGGGGGUGCUCCCAGGGUACCGGUGAAAUGGGUUGAUCCUGGGGGAACCACCUGCGGCGAAGGCGCCCAGCUGGAACGGGUCCGACGGUGAGGGAUGAAGGCCAGGGGAUCAAACCGGAUUAGAUACCCGGGUAGUCCUGGCAGCAAACGAUGCGGGCUAGGCGCUGGUUCCUCUAAGAGGGGGGCCAAUGCCGGAGGGAAGCCGUUAAGCCCGCCGCCUGGGGAGUACGGGGGCAACCCUG
rnacentral:rRNA from 1 species